CCUACGGGUGGCAGCAGUGGGGAAUAUUGCACAAUGGGGGAAACCCUGAUGCAGCAACGCCGCGUGAGUGAAGAAGUAUCUCGGUAUGUAAAGCUCUAUCAGCAGGGAAGAAAAUGACAGUACCUGACUAAGAAGCCCCGGCUAACUACGUGCCAGCAGCCGGGGGAAUACGUAGGGGGCAAGCGUUAUCCGGAUUUACUGGGUGUAAAGGGAGCGUAGACGGGUGCGCAAGUCAGAAGUGAAAGCCCGGGGCUCAACCGCGGGACUGCUUUUGAAACUGUGUAGCUAGAGUGCAGGAGAGGUAAGUGGAAUUCCUAGUGUAGCGGUGAAAUGCGUAGAUAUUAGGAGGAACACCGGUGGCGAAGGCAGCUUACUGGACUGUAACUGACGUUGAGGCUCGAAAGCGUGGGGAGCGAACAGGAUUAGAUACCCCUGUAGUC
rnacentral:rRNA from 1 species